GCUGGUGUGGUUCAGUGGUAGAACAUUGGCCCACGCGCCAAAGGAUAGUGUGUUCGAUUCAUUUCAAGGGUG
rnacentral:tRNA from 1 species